AUACGUAGGGUGCAAGCGUUAAUCGGAAUUACUGGGCGUAAAGCGUGCGCAGGCGGUUUUGUAAGACAGAGGUGAAAUCCCCGGGCUCAACCUGGGAACUGCCUUUGUGACUGCAAGGCUAGAGUACGGCAGAGGGGGAUGGAAUUCCGCGUGUAGCAGUGAAAUGCGUAGAUAUGCGGAGGAAAACCGAUGGCGAAGGCAAUCCCCUGGGCCUGCACUGACGCUCAUGCACGAAAGCGUGGGGAGCAAACAGGAUUAGAUACCCUGGUAGUCCACGCCCUAAACGAUGUCAACUGGUUGUUGGGGAUUUAUUUUCUCAGUAACGAAGCUAACGCGUGAAGUUGACCGCCUGGGGAGUACGGCCGCAAGGUUAAAACUCAAAUGAAUUGACGGGG
rnacentral:rRNA from 1 species